rnacentral:lncRNA from 1 species
CUCUUUCAAAGUCUUCGUCUUCUAUCUGCAGUUCUCAAAGAAAUUAAAGUCCCUCUUUUCCCUUUUUCCUUCUAUAUAUGCAUCCAAAUUAAAUUCACUAAGAAAGUAAAUACACCACAAGUACCUCAUCUAAUAAGGUCUUCAUUUUUUCUCUGAUUUUUGUUCUAUAGGAGAAGUUUUUCAACUUACCCACAUAAAUAUUCUUCAAUAAUCUUCCAACUAUCAUGGCAAAUUAUGGAACUACACAAAGAAUACCCACAACAACAACAACAACAACACCUUCACCCACAGGUGAAUCUUAUGAACCAAAAGCACCUAAUGAAAAGAAAAACAGUGACUUCAAAAUCUUCUGCCCCUUCAACACUCCCUCAACACCAGAAGCUUCAGGUAUUCGCAUCAUGAAAAACAUAGAGAAUCUAGGGUUAUAUUACACACUCUUUGUAUGGAUUGUACUCUUCAUAACCCUUAUACCACAACGUAAGGUUUCAUUGAUUCUUUUGGUUAUAAUGACAUAUGUGACAACACUUUACAUUUUAUUACUAAGGGCAUGUCCAAAUAGUGAAGUGCUACAUAAAAUCAUAGAUAAAAGGUUUGCGUUUGGUUUGCUAGCAUUUGCAACAGCACUGCAACUGAUUUUGACUAAAGCUGGGAUUCAUCUUGCAGUGACUUUGGCUUGUACUAUUCCUAUUGUUUUGGUUCAUUCAGUUUUGUGGGUUAGUUUUGAUGCUUUUGAGGUUGAGGAUGGUUCUGUUAGUAGUGGAGACCUGGCUCCACUUGUGGCCUCAAAUGUUGUUUGAUUUCAUUUUUGGGGUGCCACUAGAUUCUUCCCCUCUUCCUUAUGUUUACAUCUCCUAUCAU